UUUGUCUCUCACCAACCCUAGAGACACCCAUGUAUUCCACCGCCUUACUCUACCACUGAAAAUCAUGGCUGUUCCGGUGGCCCAAUACCUUCCCAAAUUACACCAUAGAACCCCCUCACUCCUCUCUUUCCAAAUCCCUGAUCCGUUUCCUUCAAAUAUCCAUUUGAAUCCACAAACCCUAGCGUCGCCAUAGUUUCUUAUGUGGCGGAGCCACCUCCCCUCAACCCCAAACUAACACCCCAUGACCUCCUUUGUCCCCACACCGCAAAACUCCAGUCCAUUGCCUUCAAAUCGUAGUCAAACUCAUCCAAUUUCAGAUCGAAAAAGUAGGACACAUGCCCUAAAAAUCGAACAGGAAAGUUUACUGAUUGUUUGAGAUCGAGAUUGACUUUAUUCGUGUGUUUUCAUUUGAAAACACAUGAUUAUGGUCUAUUUCGGUCUAAAUCAAAGGAAAGAAGAGUAAUUUCAGAAUUUUAUCUGCCUGCCCCGUAGGUAUUUUCAAUUCCUUUUCCUUUCUUUCAUCUUUUGGUUACGUUUAAAUCUUCAUCUCCUCUUACUUCGUCUUUUCUAUUUUGUUUUUCUUUUAAAAUAAUUAUGUUCGUAUGUUUAAAAUUAAAGUUUGUUCAUCCAUGUCGUUUAAUUUCUUUGUUCUAUGUGUAAUUUUAUUUUUGUUUCUGAUGUUCAAAGAGUGGAACUAUGAUUCCCUCUUGGAAAACUCCGUCAAAGCCCAGUAAUUCUAUAUGGGCUCUGUUAAUCAGAAGCCUAAGGAAAUGGACUCAAUACAGGUGUUAAGCCCAUUGUCUCGAGGUUGAACUUGGGUUCAAUUUCACCCGUAUCCGUUUGGUAUGCUAGGGUAAUUAAUAGAAUAUUAAGUAGUUAAUAGAGGUUUCAGGGGGUGGUUUGGGAAUUUGAAUCUUUAGUAACUAGCUUAGCAGGUUGCUAACAAAGAUGGUGGCACACUAACUGAAUUUUUAAUAAUAGCGCUAGGUUAGUGUAGCACUAAUUCAGCUAGUGAUGAAUUAAAAAAAUAAAAAGAUGAAUUGAUAAUGGGAAGGUCACUAAUUGAAUGACUAUUUAAAGGCCGAAAUAACGAACAAAUAGGAAGAGGAGAAAAGAAUCUGAGAGAAACACACAUUUUUUAGAGUAAGAGAUUAGACAUUUUGAAAAUAGAGAGAGAUACACUAAGAACAGUCAAAGAUUUUGAAAAUACUUAGAGCAAUAGGGAUCAAGUCUUAAGCAAUCUCAAGUUGAAAAACAUUCUGCAAAAGCUUGAGAGAUAGACAUUCAGAUACGCAAUAAGAGAGAGCUUGAUAUGUAGACAGAGAUUAAGACAGAGCUGGGUUAGCUUUUCUAUUAUUUGGUGGAUGGGAGUUAAUCUCAUUCUGAUUAGCUGUUGUGGUUGAUUUUACUGUUACAUUGCUGAUCUACUGGACUGUGUCUGCUGUUGACUCUUUACUGAUUUCCCAUUUUGAUUCCUUCUUGAUUUCGAGGUACACUUCUUUGAACUCUGUACAAUGUAAUGUCAAUUUGAAGCAUGAAUGGACAAGUUAAAGUGACCUCAUUUUACAAAAUGUUGGCACAGUUAGUUGUUUUACUAAUUUAAUUUGUAACGUAAACUAAAUAUUGUUUCUAUAAUGAACAACUGAAAUCUCGGAGUAGUGUUUAGUUUAGGGACUUUUUUAAAAAUGUUUUUUUUGUCAAGUAGUCAAUCAUAAUAGUACGCCAUAGCUCUGUUUUGCUGUUUCUUCGAGUCAUCAUUUAUGUUUGAAAAGGAUUGCAUGUUUGGUUGUUGUUAAAGAGGUUUGAAAAGGGUGAUGUUUAGUGUUUGUUGAUUCUAUUAGAUUAUAUAUGAGGUAGCUGGGUUGUUGUAUGGCUUGUGUUGGGUUUUGAAGGUCAAUUGUUAAUAGUUUGGGUAGAUUGAAUACCGAAAAGAAUGAGUUAGUGUUAAUUUGCCAUUUGUUUGAUCCACCGCCUACACAAUAUUUUUGUAAGAUUUAAGUGGUGGAUUGUCUCGUGAGCACAUGUAAUUGCCCCUCUGUUUUGGUCUUCAAAAGUGCUUGUGAAUUGUUUUAGGCGAAUCAUAUUAGACAUAGCAAAAAUUGAUUAUGGCACUACUAUAUUAACAUAGAAACCGUAGAAACCGUUAAGUAGAGUAUUUUGAGGUGUGCCAUGCCAAACAAAAAUGACAAAUGCGUGGCCUUUGGAUAUAAUAACUUUAAUACAUUUAGAAUUUGAGAUGUGUCAUUUGGCUAAUUUCAUGGCCCUCACAAAGUUAAGAACGCCUUAGUUCCUUUUAGGAGCGUUAGUUAAUAAUUUUACCUUCCUAAACUCGGUGUGCAUUUUAUGUGACCCAAAUCAAAUCUCAAAACGAUGUAUAAAAUGUGUUUAGGAUUGCGGGUGCAUUUCAUGUGACGCGAUUCAAAGACAUGUUUUAAACGACGAUCAAUAUUCCUUAAACAUUAAUAAAAGCUCUCGAAAGUUGAAAUUUGUACAUAGAAUCAGAUGUAUUAAAAUUAGAUAAUUAAGCCGAAUUUGACAGUUGAGCGAUCGUUCUAGAAUCACGGAACUCAGGAAUGCCUAAAACCUUCUCACGAGUUAAGAGAAUUCCUUAUUCGCAUUUCUGGUUUGCAGACUGUAAUACAGAGUCAACUUUUCAUCGAUUUGGGAUUCAACCAGUUUCUUGGGGCACCAUAAAUCUCCCAAUUGGCGACUCUUAAUGUAUUAAAAAUAAUCCCGUUUCGAUUGUUCUUUAAUUGGAAGAACAAUUUUAUACCUUUCGGGUGUGUAAAAAAGAAGGUGUGACAUUUUAUCCAUCAAACGACUAUUUAGGUUUGCGGCAUUAUCUGUGAUGAAAGUCGUAGGAAUGCCAAAACGACAGAUACGAUUAGAAUGCACAAAAUCUACCAUAGCUUCCUUGGCGACUGAUUUGAGAGUGAUGGCUUCAACCCACUUCGUGAUGUAAUCAAUGGCAACCAGUAUGAAUCUAUGCUCAUUUGAGGCUUUCGACUAGAUCGGCCCAAUGACGCCCAUGCCCCAAGUAACAAACGGCCAAGGUGCUGAAAUGGGAUGCAGUUCUGUUGGAGGUGCAUGAAUCAAAUCACUGUGCACCAGACACUGAUGGGACUUUCAGACAAAACUGAAAUAGUCCUUUUCCAUAGUUAUCCAGUAAUACCCCGCUCAAGGAUUUUCUUUGCCAAAAUGUACCCAUUCAUAUGGGGUCCGCAUACUCCUGCAUGCACUUCAUGCAUAAUUUUUCCAGCUUCUUCGGCGUCAACACAUCUUAACAAAUUGAGGUCCGAGGUCCUUUUGUACAAGGCAUUACCACUCAAGAAAAAACCACUUGCAUGCCGUCUAAUGGUUCUCUUUUGAUCUCCAGUUGCUUGCUCGGGGUAUUCUUGCAUUUUCAAAAACCUCUUAAUGAUAUGGUACAAUGGCUAGAUGUUUGGUUCUACCUCAACCGUAUUAAAAUAACCAUGUCUUUCCCUGAUUUGGAUUUCCAAUGGAUCAAUGUGAGCAUUGCCUGGGUAGGGCAACAUCGAGGCUAGAGUAGCAAGUGCAUCACUACUUCAUUGUGACACCGAGGGAUGUACCUGAACUCUAUUGACCUGAACCGAUUUCUAAGAUCCUCCACAUGUUGGCGAUAGGGAAGAAGCUUAACAUCCCAAGUUUUCCAUUCUCUUUGGACUUGCCGGAUAAUCAAUUAUGAAUGCCCCAUAAUCAAUGACACUUCAACGUCUUGGUGAAUUUCCAUAUUCAUUCCCAUUCCAAUGAUGCCCGCUUCAUAUUCAGCAUUAUUGUUUGUGCAGUAAAACUGAAGCCUAGCAGUGGCCGGGUACUGCUAAUCGGCGGGUGAGAUUAAUAUUGCCCCAAUUCCUACUACCCCUUUGGCGUUCACAGCCCCAUUAAAGAACAUUUUCCAAGCAUAAGUGUAUUCCAAGAUUGCAUAUAUUGUGUUUACCUCUUCAUCUGGAAAUAAGUGCUCAAUAGUUGGUAUUCCUCGUCAACCGGAUUUUCAGCCAGAUGAUCUGCCAACGCCUGAGCUUUCAUCGCCGUGCGAGUGACAUAGACUAUGUCAAAUUCAGCGUGUAGAAUCUGCAAUUUUGCUAACCUCCUUAUGGGCAUCAGCUUCUGGAAUAUGCAUUUCAAAGGAUCCAACCUGGUUAUGAGAUAAGUGGUGUGGGCAUGCAGAUAAUGUCUUAGCUUCUGAGCAACCCAAGACAAAGCACAACAGGUUCUCUCCAACAUAGUAUAUUUAGCUUCGUAACUGGUGAACUUCUUGAUCAGGUAAUAAAUCACCUAUUCUUUCUUCCGAGUUUUAUCGUGUUGCCCAAGAACACAACCGAAAUUGUUUUAUAAGACUGUCAUAUACAAGAAAAGAGGCCUCCCUGGCUCCGGUGGGACCAAGACUGGCAAAUUUGAAAGAUAUUCUUUGAUUUGCCGAAAUCUUCUUGACAUUCAUCUGUCCACUUGAUUGCUGCAUCUUUCUUUAGCAAAUUGAAUAUCGUCUUACAUAUGGACAUCAGCUGAGCAAUGAACCGACUAAUAUAGUUUAAUCUGCCCAACAAGAUCUUCAGAUCUUUCUUGCUUUCUGGAGGAGGUAUAUCCCGGAUAGACUUUAUCUUUGUUGGGUCUAACUCGAUACCUCUCCUACUGACUAUGAAACCUAGAAGUUUUCCCGAUGGGACUCCGGAUGCACAAUUGGCUAAUUUUAGCUUUAGUUCAUACUUGCACAAUCGCUCGAAGAACUUUCUCAUAUCUCGAACAUGGUCAUCCUGAGUUUGAGACUUGAUGAUUACGUCGUCCACGUAUAUCUCUAUCUCCUGAUACAUCAUAUCAUGGAAAGUUGCGGUCAUGGAUCUCAUGUAAGUCACCCCAGCAUUCUUCAGACCUAGUGACAUAACUUUUUAACAAUAUGUACCCCAGGUUGUGGUGAAGGCUAUCUUUUCUGCGGUCUUCUUCAUCCAUCAAAACCUGGUUAUAUCCUGCGUAACAAUCCACAAAGGUCUUUACCUCAUACUUGGCGCAGUUAUAAACAAGGAGGUGGAUAUUGGACAAAAGGAAAUUGCCUUUUUGACUGGCCUUUUUCAAAUCACUGUACCGAGUCUUUCCAUCUUUCUUUGGAACUGGGACUACGUUAGCCAACCAUGUUGUAUACGUGACUACCCAAAUUACCCCCGCUUUCAACUAUUUUGUGAUCUUUUCCUUGAUCUUAUCACUGAUGUCAGUUUUGAACUUUCUCUAUUUUUUGCUGUACCAGAGGGCAGUUGGGUAAAUGGGAAAUUUAUGAACCACUAGAUCACUACUCAACCCUGGCAUUUCAUCAUACAACCAAGCAAACACAUCUUUAAACUCAAAUAGGAGUUGGAUUAUUGCAUCCCGACUUUUCUCAUCCGUGUGAAUGCUUAUUUUGAUUUCCCGAAUUUUAUUACAAGUUCCCAAGUUAAUCGGCUCAGUAUCAUUAAAGUUUGGCUUAGGUUUAUUCUCAAAUUGCUCUAGUUCUCGAUUUAUUUCCCUAAUAGCCUAUUCUUCAUCAUAUUGCUAUUCUUGGUUCAUUAUUUCACAAUUAGACAGCGUGUUUGGAUCUGGGCAUGAUGUCCGCAAGUAUGUCAUGUUAUUUAAAGCCACAUUAUUAGAACUGAAAAGAAGAAAUGAAAGAGAAAAACAGCAAAAUCAGAAAGAAUAAAGAAAAAUGAAUGAUGAAAUAUUAAUUUCAUUUCUUGGAAUUUGAAGAUAACAAGGUUUAUAUUUGGAAAUUUAAAGACAAGAGACAAAUUAAAACAUCCAAGUUACACCCUGAAAUAACUUGGGAUGCAGAAAAAGUAGCAGGACAAGUCUACAGGGACUCCCGUCUGAUCACAAAUGGCGUAGCCUUCCAAUUGUGGAGCUUAGUGCAUGGUCCCAUGUCAGCACCUCAAGGGUGCUUGUGCCCUCUCCCGGCUGAACCAUGUGGGUUUCAUAUAGUAUCUCUCUCAUCGCCCCACAUAUUUCUUCAAUUUCUUAGCAAAAUCAGAAAGAAGAAAGAAAACUGAACGAUGAAAUAUUGAUUUCAUUUCUUGGAAUUUUGAAGAUAACAGGGUUUACAUCGAUAAAAUUAAAGACAAGAAUGUAAAGAAAACAUCCGAGUUACACCCUGGGAUAACUCGAGAUGCAAGAAAAAGUAGUAGAACAGGUCUAGCGAGACUCCCGCCUGAUUGGGAAUGGUGUAGCUUUCCAAUUCUGUAGCUUCGCAUUUGGCCACAUAUAUAGAACCUCAGCGGCGCUAGUGCCCGGUAACCAUGUGGGCUUUAUAUAGUAAUUUUCUCAUUGAGCCACAUAUUUCCUCAAUUUCUUCAGUCGUGAAAACAUCAUCACCUUCCUCUUUCCUGUACUUCGGCUUGACAAAGGUCUCAUACAAGUGUGGCAGUUGGUAGGACCCAUCCCUCUUUCUUUCUCUCAUUUGCCCACUAUGUAUCGUCUGGGGUAGGCAAGAAACCUAUCUCGAAGAACUUUUCAGUUUUAGGCAAAGUCACUAACUCAAAUAUUCAUGGUAAAGUUUUCCCAAGUCCCUUUCCUGGCUUGAAACCAUGUCAGAUCAUUUCCUUGGCCACUAUAAUCGAGGUGUUGGAUAAGAAAGGUUGGGGCCACGAAUUUCCCUCUUCAUGUUGGUUCGCAACCACAACUUCGAAAACUUGGUAAACUAUGUGUUCACUGCCUUCCCUCGCUUCCAGGCAUGGGACAAAUGUGUCCCUAUAGAUUGACUGUUCAUCCUCUCCAUGGAACACAAUCUCCUGGUCCUGAUGUUCGAAUUUUACCAUAUGAUGGAGGGUGGAAGCUACAUCUCUUGCGGCAUGGACCCAGGGCCUUCCCAGAAGAAAAUUAUAAGACGUGUCCAUGUAUAGUACUUGGAAAGUCACCUCGAAGUCCACCAGGCCAAUGAUCAUAAACAAGUUAAUUUCUCCAAUUGUGUCUCUUUUAAUUGCAUUGAACGAACGCGCGCAUACAUUGUUGGGAUGAAUCCUUUCAAUGACUUUUUCCUGCGUUGCAAUAUAAAGAUUGGGCAGAUUUCUACUCUAGAACAUCCAUAUUCCAUGACCCACUUCACAUAUUAUCCCUCACAUUUAACAGUUAAGUGCAGAUCCUUGUUGUCAGCAGCCCCCUCCGGAGGCAAGUCAUUUUUGCUGAAUGAAAUCUAAUUGAUGGCAAAAAAUCUUUCUGCCUUUAUUUGUAACCGUUCCAUGGAUGUUUCAGCUGGCACGUAUGCUUCAUUCAGGGUCUUAAUUAAAACUUUUUGAUGUUCAGGGGAUUUCAUCAACAAUGACAGGAACAACACUUGUUCAGGAUACUUUCACAGUUGAUCAACCACUUCAUAAUCAGCCAUCUUCAUUUUUUGAAUGAAAGGUUUCGCUUCCUCGGCACAUAUAGGUUUCUUGGCUGGGAAACACUUUUUAGAGGAAUUGUUCACUUCUUCUAUGUUAGAACACUUCUCAACG
rnacentral:lncRNA from 1 species